AUAUUUAUCUGGCAGGGGAAUUAUCGUGAUCAUGAAGGUGGUUUUCCCAGCAUGAGACUUAUCCGAUGUACUCCGGAUGUACUGACCCAUGUGAUUUCCCCCAAUGUGAGAAACCUGAUUGUAUAAUUUGUGCUGGUGGGGGACUGCGUUUGCGUUUUCCUCUG